AAACCAGCCGGCGCGCGCAAAUCUCGGAGGCCAUGACCGCCACUGCAAUGGAAGCGAGCGACGCGACGGCUAUCUGGUGUUAUGAGUAGACAUUGUCUGGUCACGGUGCUUUUAAACGAAACUUCAGACCGUCGUCGGGACUCUUCGAUCAACGCAACUGGAACAAAGGCCUCACCAAUGCGAUGAGUCUAGCUGAAACUAUCAACACCAAAGCGGCAUGCCACGCCCCUUCCAAGGUCGUCGAUCAGGUCGAAGUUGGCAUGCAGUGCAGCUUGCCUCUGGCUGACAAAUCUGUCGGGUGCUGCUUCAAAGCAUGGAGUGUGUCGAGGAGCAUGCAGACUAUGGAGGCUCCGGAUCAGUUAAGCUCGACCUCAGCAUCGAGGCCUUCUAUUUCUCUAUCAACUGCCAAUUGUGACAACUUGAAGCCAGGAUGCCUCCACCGAUGUCAAUCAUGCGAUUAUGAGACUGAUAAACUUUAUCAUCUGGAAACACAUGCCAGCGUCCAUAAUGACAAGAAGCCAUUUCAAUGCCCUUCAUGCUCACAUAGCUUCUCACCACAGGCCCACCUGAAAGAGCACCUGUGCACUCACAUAAGCGAGGAGUCAUAUCACUGUCCUUCAUGCUCUCGGAGCUUCUCAGGAAAGUUCAACCUUAUGAGACACCUGCUCAUGCACACAGGCGAGAAGCCAUAUCAGUGCCCUUCGUGCUCUCGGAGCUUCUUACAAAAGGCCCACCUGAAAGAGCACCUGCACACCCACACAGGCGAGAAGCCAUUUGAGUGCCCUUCAUGCUCUCGGAGCUUCUCAAGAAAGACCCACCUGAAAAGCCACCUUCGCACUCACACAGGCGAGAAGCCAUUUAAGUGCCCUUCGUGCCUUCAGAGCUUCUCACAAAAGGCAAAGCUGAAAAGCCACCUGCGUACUCACACAGGUGAGAAGCCAUUUCAGUGCCCUUCAUGCUCUCGGAGCUUCUUACAAAAGGCCCACCUGAAAGAGCACCUGCGCACCCAUACAGGCGAGAAGCCAUUUGAGUGCCCUUCAUGCUCUCGGAGCUUCUCGCGAAAGACCCACCUGAAAAGCCACCUUCGCACCCACACUGGCGAGAAGCCAUUUCAGUGCCCUUCAUGCCUUCAGAGCUUCUCAGAAAAGGCAAAGCUGAAAUCCCACCUGCGCACACACACAGGCGAGAAGCCAUUUGAGUGCCCUUCAUGCUCUCGGAGUUUCUCACGAAAGACCCACCUGAAAAGCCACCUUCGCACCCACACUGGCAAGAAGCCAUUUCAGUGCCCUUCAUGCCUUCAGAACUUCUCACAAAAAGCAAAGCUGAAAUCCCACCUGCGCACCCACACAGAUGAGAAGCCAUUUCGGUGCCCUUCAUGUUUUCAGAGCUUCUCACAAAAGGCCAUCCUGAAAUUGCACCUGCGCACACACACAGGCGAGAAGCCAUAUCAGUGCUCUUCUUGCUCUCGGAGCUUCUCACAAAAGGGCAACCUUAUGACACACCUGCGCACCCACACUGAAGAGAAGCCAUUUCAGUGCUCUUCAUGCUUUAAGAGCUUCUCACAAAAGGGCAGCCUGAAGUCCCACCUUCGCACCCACACAGGUGAAAAGCCAUUUCACUGCCCUUCAUGUUCUCGGAGCUUCUCACAAAAGACCCACCUGAAAGGGCACCUGCACAGCCACACGGGCGAGAAACCGUUUGAGUGCCCUUCAUGCUCUCGGAGCUUUUCACGAAAGACCCACCUGAAAAGCCACCUGCACACUCACACAGGCAAGAAGCCAUAGCAGUGCCUUUCCUCUUGGAGCUUCUCAUAAAUGACCUACCUGAAAGAGUGCCUGCACACCCAUGCAGGGGAGACACCAUUUCAAUGCCCUUCAUGCCUUCAGAGCUUCUCGCAAAAGGGCAGCCUUAUGGAACACCUUCGCACCCACAUAGGUCACAAGCAAUAUUGGUGCCCUUUAUUCCUUCAGAGCUUCUCAUUGAAGCGUGCCAUCAGGAUAGAGCAGCGCGUUCAUACAGGUGACUGGCCAUGCAAUUCCCCCUCUGCUCCAGGUCCUUUAUGCAGUCUCAUCACUUGAGCAGACAUAAGAGAGCACAGCACCAUGAUACUGUAGGGGGUUGGCUUAUCGGAGCCAGCCUGAAUUGAAGUAAAUACGGUAUGUUCAUUGUUAUAUAUAUUAUAGUAUAAAUGUCUGAACGAUCUGCUUUCUAAGUUGUGCAUUUUGGUUUUGUGUUUUUCAGCAUUAUCUUUUGGUAUUGUUAAGAACGGCCCAGCUGAAGUGCAAGUGUUGCCAGCCAGUUGCUACAACGGGCGUCAACGUUUCUUAGAGCGCCGCCGCAAACCUCUAGCCACGACGUCACUAAAUCGCCAUUGUGACUGAGUUCGGCAGGCCAACUAUUGUUACCGAACCCACCAACGCGGACCUCAUCUGCUAUGAGUGGGGGAGUUGCCGCGGGAACGUCGUCGGAGGCCCCUUCCCACGCGCCGACCAAGACGCAAGACAAUGGCUACUCGGGCGCUCUGCGAGGGUCCGCUCCGAGUUCUACGAAAUCCGUGUGAUGUUGGUUUCGGACCGUGAACCUGUGUGUGUGUGCAAACUGUCCCGCGGAGAGGCGGCGUGUUUACGAUGACUGGACGAACGUUUCCGCUGCCUUGGAAUCGGGGGAGGACUGAGUGUUUAUAAACGACUGUUGUGCGGAUGCUCGAGACACUUUCUUAAGCAGUCAUGUUAGACUGAUAUAAAUACUGUAAAUAAACCCAUAUUCCUCGUUC